rnacentral:rRNA from 1 species
GACGAACGCUGGCGGCGUGCCUAACACAUGCAAGUUGAGCGACGAACCAGGGCUUGCCCUGGGGCAAAGCAGCGAACGGGUGAGUAACACGUGGGUAACCUGCCCCGAUAACCGGGACAACCCGAGGAAACUCGGGCUAAUACCGGAUGUGCUCGCCGGACACCAGUCCGGCGCGUAAAGGAAGCUUCGGCCUCCGUAUCGGGCGGGGCCCGCGGCCCAUUAGCUAGUUGGUGAGGUAACGGCUCACCAAGGCCGCGAUGGGUAGCUGGUCUGAGAGGACGAUCAGCCACACUGGGACUGAGACACGGCCCAGACUCCUACGGGAGGCAGCAGUGGGGAAUCUUGCGCAAUGCGCGAAAGCGUGACGCAGCAACGCCGCGUGGGGGAAGAAGGCCUUCGGGUUGUAAACCCCUUUCAGGAGGGACGAAGGUUCGGCGGUGAAUAGCCGCCCGGACUGACGGUACCUCCACAAGAAGCCCCGGCUAACUACGUGCCAGCAGCCGCAGUAAAAC